rnacentral:rRNA from 1 species
AUUGAACGCUGGCGGCAUGCCUUACACAUGCAAGUCGAACGGCAGCACGGGUGCUUGCCCCUGGUGGCGAGUGGCGAACGGGUGAGUAAUACAUCGGAACAUGUCCUGUAGUGGGGGAUAGCCCGGCGAAAGCCGGAUUAAUACCGCAUACGAUCUACGGAUGAAAGCGGGGGACCUUCGGGCCUCGCGCUAUAGGGUUGGCCGAUGGCUGAUUAGCUAGUUGGUGGGGUAAAGGCCUACCAAGGCGACGAUCAGUAGCUGGUCUGAGAGGACGACCAGCCACACUGGGACUGAGACACGGCCCAGACUCCUACGGGAGGCAGCAGUGGGGAAUUUUGGACAAUGGGCGAAAGCCUGAUCCAGCAAUGCCGCGUGUGUGAAGAAGGCCUUCGGGUUGUAAAGCACUUUUGUCCGGAAAGAAAUCCUUGGCCCUAAUACGGUCGGGGGAUGACGGUGCCGGAAGAAUAAGCACCGGCUAACUACGUG